rnacentral:lncRNA from 1 species
ACCAUCGAUAUGAAACUUGAAUCUAGUUGAUGGGGUGCUUCUUCUCAAGGCAGAUUUAGCUGGAAGGUCCGAAGCAAAAGUGGUCCAAGGUUCCACCUCGGACCCAACUCAAAGAGGGACUAACUGCGAGCCCUAGCCGACCCGAAGGUUUUCAUCCGAGGUCUCAUUGUCAAUAGAUUCCAUUUCGAUGAAAAAAAAGACAAAAAUAGAAAGAAAAUACAAGAAAGAUAGAGGACCA